AGCUUUGCACAGUGGCAGUAUCCUAGCCAAUGAUGUUUAUCUGAGGCGUGAUUAUUGCUGAUUGAAAACUUAAGUAUUGUGUGUGUGUCUAAACAUCAGGUAGGUAGAAAAGUACUAGAAUAAGGAUGGCAACCUU
ensembl:snRNA LOC120094042 U4 spliceosomal RNA